GCCGGUGUGGCGGAAUUGGUAGACGCGCUAGAUUCAAAAUCUGGUUUCUUAUGGAAGUGUGGGUUCGAUUCCCUCCACCGGUACCA
rnacentral:tRNA from 1 species